CCUACGGGAGACAGCAGUGGGGAAUAUUGGGCAAUGGGCGCAAGCCUGACCCAGCAAUGCCGCGUGAAGGAAGAAGGCUCUCGGGUUGUAAACUUCUUUGACAGGGGAAGAGCAGAAGACGGUGCCCUGAAAACAAGCCACGGCUAACUACGUGCCAGCAGCCGCGGUAAUACGUAGGUGGCAAGCGUUAUCCGGAUUUACUGGGUGUAAAGGGGGCGCAGGCGGCAGCGCAAGCCAGGGGUGAAAGCCCGGGGCCCAACCCCGGGACUGCCCUUGGAACUGCGCGGCUGGAGUGCAGGAGCGGCAGGCGGAAUUCAUGGUGUAGCGGUGAAAUGCGUAGAGAUCAGGAGGAACACCGGUGGCGAAGGCGGCCUGCUGGACUGCGACUGACGUUGAGGCCCGAAAGCGUGGGGAGCAAACAGGAUUAGAUACCCCUGUAGUC
rnacentral:rRNA from 1 species